AAUGCUUACAGGUUAGAGAUCCUGGAAGAAGACCACGUUGCUGACCGAAACUUGCAAGAGGUUGUGUUCGAGUUAGAGUCAUUUAAGUGGAUAAAAGAUACGACACCACAUCUUGAUCUUCCGAUUUCUUACACAAACAUUCCACCAUCUAUUUUGAAGGCACCCAAACUAGAACUAAAGUCGCUGCCCAAACACCUCAAGUAUGUCUUUUCGGGUGAAGGAUAAACCGUCCCAAUG
rnacentral:lncRNA from 1 species